rnacentral:rRNA from 1 species
UGACAUUACCUGCAGAAUAAGCACCGGCUAACUCUGUGCCAGCAGCCGCGGUAAUACAGAGGGUGCAAGCGUUAAUCGGAAUUACUGGGCGUAAAGCGAGCGCAGGUGGCUUGAUAAGUCAGAUGUGAAAUCCCCGGGCUUAACCUGGGAACUGCAUCUGAAACUGUUAGGCUAGAGUAUGUGAGAGGGAAGUAGAAUUUCAGGUGUAGCGGUGAAAUGCGUAGAGAUCUGAAGGAAUACCGAUGGCGAAGGCAGCUUCCUGGCUUCAUACUGACACUGAUGCUCGAAAGCGUGGGUAGCAAACAGGAUUAGAUACCCUGGUAGUCCACGCCGUAAACGAUGUCUACUAGUCGUUGGGUCCCUUGAGGACUUAUUGACGCAGCUAACGCAAUAAGUACACCGCCUGGGGAGUACGGCCGCAAGGUUAAAACUCAAAUGAAUUGACGG